rnacentral:rRNA from 1 species
GAGCUUGAUCCCAUGGCUCAGAUUGAACGCUGGCGGCAGGCCUAACACAUGCAAGUCGAGCGGUAGAGAGAAGCUUGCUUCUCUUGAGAGCGGCGGACGGGUGAGUAAUGCCUAGGAAUCUGCCUGGUAGUGGGGGAUAACGCUCGGAAACGGACGCUAAUACCGCAUACGUCCUACGGGAGAAAGCAGGGGACCUUCGGGCCUUGCGCUAUCAGAUGAGCCUAGGUCGGAUUAGCUAGUUGGUGAGGUAAUGGCUCACCAAGGCGACGAUCCGUAACUGGUCUGAGAGGAUGAUCAGUCACACUGGAACUGAGACACGGUCCAGACUCCUACGGGAGGCAGCAGUGGGGAAUAUUGGACAAUGGGCGAAAGCCUGAUCCAGCCAUGCCGCGUGUGUGAAGAAGGUCUUCGGAUUGUAAAGCACUUUAAGUUGGGAGGAAGGGCAGUAACCUAAUACGUUGCUGUCUUGACGUUACCGACAGAAUAAGCACCGGCUAACU